AUGCAAGUGGUAACAACUUUUCCGUGGGUCAACCUGCGGAAGGAUCAU
rnacentral:rRNA from 1 species